GGGGAUGUAGCUCAGUGGUAGAGCGCAUGUUUUGCAUGUAUGAGGCCCUGGGUUCGAUACCCGACAUCUCCA
rnacentral:tRNA from 1 species